rnacentral:misc_RNA from 1 species
GUAAAACUAUAUACCCCAGUCCACCAUACCAAAAAUCCAAUAACUCAUCUCACAAAGGGCAAGAAAAAUGUUUUAGAAAAACAUGUUCCUUUUAGCAUGACAAAAUCCCAAAUAUUUAGAUUGGCAACAAAGGCAAGUUUCUUAGAUGUCACGUUCACAGCUCAAUAACUCAAAAUCCUUUUAGUCGUGUUAAAUGCAACAAUAAAGCAUCCAUCCAGUAAACCAGACUAAAGGAGAUCUAUUCCAAUAGAAUUGGAUAGCAAUUUUUAACCGUUAUAAAUA